AACGAACGCUGGCGGCAGGCUUAACACAUGCAAGUCGAACGGUUGUAGCAAUACAGCAGUGGCAGACGGGUGAGUAACACGUGGGAACCUUCCUAGGGGUACGGAACAACUCAGGGAAACUUGAGCUAAUACCGUAUACGUCCGUGAGGAGAAAGAUUUAUCGCCCUUAGACGGGCCCGCGUCGGAUUAGCUAGUUGGUGGGGUAAUGGCCUACCAAGGCGACGAUCCGUAGCUGAUCUUAGAGGAUGAUCAGCCACACUGGGACUGAGACACGGCCCAGACUCCUACGGGAGGCAGCAGUGGGGAAUCUUGGACAAUGGGCGCAAGCCUGAUCCGGCCAUGCCGCGUGAGUGAAGAAGGUCUUCGGAUUGUAAAGCUCUUUUGCCAGGGACGAUAAUGACGGUACCUGGAGAAUAAGCCCCGGCAAACUUCGUGCCAGCAGCCGCCGUAAUAC
rnacentral:rRNA from 1 species